CAGCUGGGCCUUUUUAUGUUCACCCAGCGAUCGUUGGGCGGUGACUCUGCUCCUCCAGGUUGCCCAGGGCUGCAGGCGGCCGAGACGUUGGACGAGUCCGGAGGGGGCCUCGUGAAGCCUGGGGGGUCCCUGACCCUGGUCUGCAAGGGCUCCGGAUACACCUUCAGCAGCUUCGGCAUGGGAUGGGCACGACAGGCCCCCGGGAAGGGGCUCGAGUACGUCGCGGGUACUACCAGUGAUGGUAGUUGGACAGGCUACGCGCCGGCGGUGGAGGGACGCUUCACCAUCUCCAGGGACAACGGGCAGAGCACGCUCACCCUGCAGAUGAACAGCCCCAAGGCCGAAGACACCGCCACCUACUACUGCGCGAAAACUGCUGAUGGUGGUGCUGGUGCAAUCAUUGCUGGUGCUGCUGGUGCUGGUGCUGGUGGUGAUGUUGGUUGUGGUGCUGGUCAUGAUGAUGGUGUUGGUGAUGGUUUUUGUGUUGUUCGUCAUGGUCUUGGUGAUGUUAAUAUAGUCAGGCAUCAACACCACCAGCACCAUCACUGCUCCAACCGCUACCAGCAUACUCCCUCACGCAGUAGUAGGUGGUGGUGUCGUUGGCCUUGA